UAACUUACGUGGAGCCGGGACCAGGAUGACUAUGAAUGACCUGGCCUCAAGUGAGUGCUUGCUUGUGUACUUUAGCGUGUAGAGGCCUGUGACGUUCGCUAAUCGGGCUCUUUCAGAUGCAUAAUUUAUGAUGAUGGCUAGGUCCAUGGAUCAUCCUUUU
rnacentral:snRNA from 15 species